rnacentral:rRNA from 1 species
AUUGAACGCUGGCGGCAGGCCUAACACAUGCAAGUCGAGCGGAUGAAGGGAGCUUGCUCCUGGAUUCAGCGGCGGACGGGUGAGUAAUGCCUAGGAAUCUGCCUGGUAGUGGGGGAUAACGUCCGGAAACGGGCGCUAAUACCGCAUACGUCCUGAGGGAGAAAGUGGGGGAUCUUCGGACCUCACGCUAUCAGAUGAUCCUAGGUCGGAUUAGCUAGUUGGUGGGGUAAUGGCCUACCAAGGCGACGAUCCGUAACUGGUCUGAGAGGAUGAUCAGUCACACUGGAACUGAGACACGGUCCAGACUCCUACGGGAGGCAGCAGUGGGGAAUAUUGGACAAUGGGCGAAAGCCUGAUCCAGCCAUGCCGCGUGUGUGAAGAAGGUCUUCGGAUUGUAAAGCACUUUAAGUUGGGAGGAAGGGCAGUAAGUUAAUACCUUGCUGUUUUGACGUUACCAACAGAAUAAGCACCGGCUAACUUCGUG